AUAAUCUUUAAAUUUAAAGAAUUUGGCGGUAAUUUAUUUCUUGUCAGAGGAACCUGUUUUUUAAUCGAUAAACCACGUAUAAUCUUACUUGUUUUUAUAGUUUGUAUACCAUCAUUAACAGAUAAUUUUAAAAGAAAAAAUUAUUAAAGAUGAAUUGUUAAAUAAAUUAGAUCAAGGUGCAGCCAAUAAUCAAGUUUAAAUGGGUUACAAUAAAUUUUAUUUAUUAUGGAGUAAAUUAAUAAAAUAUUUAUAAAGGAGGAUUUGAUUGUAAUAUAAGUUUAAUAAGCUUAUAAGAUAAUAGCUCUAAAUUAUGUACACAUCGCC
rnacentral:rRNA from 1 species